rfam:Zootermopsis nevadensis contig22336, whole genome shotgun sequence.
GCCACGGUGGUCUAGCGGUUAGAACGCUGGCCUUGUAAUCAUGGGGUCUCGGGUUCGAUUCCCGGCGGUGCCC